UCAAAUGGAUUUGGCAUUAGACCUGACA
rnacentral:piRNA from 1 species